rnacentral:misc_RNA from 1 species
GUAGGUGAACCUGCGGAAGGAUCAUUCAUAAUAAGUGUUUUAUGGCACUUUUUUAAAUCCAUAUCCACCUUGUGUGCAAUGUCAGGGUUGAUUUUUCUCUCGAGAGGAUCAGCCCCAAACAUCAACUAUAUCUCAACUCUUUGUCUGAAAAAUAUUAUGAAUAAAACAAUUCAAAAUACAACUUUCAACAACGGAUCUCUUGGCUCUU